ensembl:lncRNA
AUGAAUAGGGGGAGAAAAAACCUGCACUGGUUUCUGCCAGAGUCUUUGAAGUUCAAUCUUGAGGUCCUGAUAGCGGCUGAGUUUUUCCUGUUGUUUUUCCUCAAUGCGACUGUCACCUGGGAUGGCGACAUCAAUGAUCCAAACCUUUUUCCUUUCCACAACUGUGAUGUCUGGUGUGUUGUGUUCCAGAACUUUGUCAGUCUGGAUUCGAAAGUCCCACAGUAUCUUUGCGUGCUCAUUUUCCAAUACUUUUGCAAUUUUGUGAUCCCACCAGUUCUUUACUGCUGGGAGGUGGUACUUGAGGCAUAAGUUCCAAUGAAUCAUUUGGGCCACAUGGUUGUGCCUCUGUUUGUAGUCUGUCUGUGUGAUUUUCUUACAGCAGCUGAGGAUAUGAUCAAUGGUUUCGUCAGUUUCCUUGCACAGUGCAUUUUGGGUCAUCAGCUGAUUUUUUUAUCUUGGCCUUAAUUGCAUUUGUUCUGAUGGCUUGCUCGCUGGGGCCUCCACCCCCCACCCCCCACCCCCUGCAACCUUGACGUGGUGGGGGGGCUUAACCACUCCAAUGAUGACUGAGGGCUGUGCUGGUGGUAGUGUAACUACCGGCAGGUCCAACCAAGCCAGAGAGGCCUCAGCUGAGGAGUGGAACCAAGUGCACCUAACCCAUUAGCAUUAUGGAGAAUCAAACCAAAACGAAGUCUAUACUGGCUCGGUCGUCGCCCAGGAUAAAAAGGACCGUGGUGGAUGCUGCUGAUUCUGGACAUCCAUCGACAAGUGAGCUACGGAAUCAAAAUACAAAUGAACAGUCACAGAAGCGGCAAAAAUAUACAAUGCCAGAAAACCGCACUAUUAUUAUUAUUAUUAUUAUUAUUAUUAUUAUUAUUAUUAUUAUUAUUAUUAUCAUCAUCAUCAUCAUCAUCAUCAUCAUUAUUUCUUCAAUUCUAAGAUGUACUUUUUCUCUAUAUAAACACCUCUAGAAAUGGGCUUCAUCUUAGAUCCUCAGGUGUAUCUUGUGUAUUUGGUGGUGCCGGUACUAAAAUUAGGUUGCAUUUUACAAGCAAUGGCAUCUUACAAUUGAAGAAAUAUUUCAUUUGUUACCCAUCUCUCCUAAUGGCUUGAGACAAGGAACAACACAGUCAAAACGUAUGGACAUGAAAUACAUACAACAAAAUACAUAUAUCAAAGCACACCUCUAUAAAAUACAUACAUCAAAAUACAUGAUACAAAAUACAGUGGUAAUAGAAUGCAAAUCCAAAACUCUGGGAUUUUAUUCAGCUGUGUGGAAGGAGCCUGGGUGACAGGUGGCAGUUGCCAGUUGGGUUCUGGCUGGUUGGAGUAAGCGUCCUUCAGAAGACCCUAGUGUCCUAAGGGACAGAUUGUAUGGGAUAAGGCAAUCCUGUAAGUAACCUGGAUCCAAACUGUGCAGAUCUUUAAAGAAAAGCACUUUGCACAUCUCAGAGACUGAUUCAUCUUGAUUUUCCACCAAAGAAGCAAGCCUUUGUUCGGACAUUGUUAUGUGUUUUUCUUUGGCAGAUAAACGAAUACAGGAAAUACUUGGGGCAGUUUGCUCAAGGCUGAGAUUCCUUCCUUCUUUCUUUGAUUACUUUUUAAAACUAAAAAUGCAUAGCUAAAAGGGUUUUAAUUCAACAAAAUAGAGAUAUGUAUCUAAAAGAAAUAAUUCUACCCUGUUGGAUCAGAGUUAUACAGGGCACUAAAAAGGAUAAUUGUAACACUUGCCAUAAACCUUAAAAAAGCUGCUUUAGCAUAAACAUGGUGGCAUCAGUAAACUAAUCCACAGGGUUAAUUGUCCCUGAAAUGUGAAAGCUUGUACAUUAUGUUUUCAGGAAAGUGGGCUCUAUUAGGAGGAGAAUCAUUUCUUGAUGAAUUAAAAUAUUCAGUGUAUGAGAUUUGACUCUGAUCCCAUCAUCGCAGCUGCAAAACUAUGCAUUAGGCCUGAAUAUUGUACUCCAUCAAUGCAAAUGAGAAAGGGAAUGCAAAAACCACAAAAAUCAUGCUAAAAUAAAUCUCAGAGUUGCUACAAGACUCCUUUUUGAGGUUUUCUUUUUUUACCUUCCUCCCUUUUAUUUUUUAUCCAAUUAGCUUAUCUACCCAGCAU